UACAGAGGUCUCAAGCGUUGUUCGGAUUCAUUGGGCGUAAAGGGUGCGUAGGUGGCGCCAUAAGUCAGGCGUGAAAUCUCGGGGCUUAACUCCGAAACUGCAUUUGAUACUGUGGUGCUUGAGGACUGGAGAGGAGACUGGAAUUCACGGUGUAGCAGUGAAAUGCGUAGAUAUCGUGAGGAAGACCAGUGGCGAAGGCGGGUCUCUGGACAGUUCCUGACACUGAGGCACGAAGGCCAGGGGAGCAAACGGG
rnacentral:rRNA from 1 species